rnacentral:lncRNA from 1 species
CCACAAAUUGUAUAUUCAUGGCAUGGAUAUGACGGGGGCCUCGCCAUCGAGGAGGUGAGCGGCGGCUUCAUCGCGCACGCCGACCUCAGCGAGGAGGGCCUCUGGCUCGGCAGGAAGUGGGACUGGGUGAUGAGCGUCGAGGUUGGGGAGCACAUCGAUCCUAAACAUGAAGGCCAUUUCCUCGAUAACCUCGUGCGGCAUGCCUGUACAGGAAUAAUUCUGACUUGGGCUGUGGAGGGUCAACCCGGUCACUAUCACAUUAACAACCACAAC